GAUGCACAGAUCCUCUAUUUUGCAUGCAUGCCAAGCAACGUAGGAGAGAGAGAUGAAGAACUUGAGGAUUUUUUGAAAAAGAAAAGAAGGGGAGAGCUCUAAAAUCUGAUCUCAAUGCCUUGGAAGGACUCCACACGCCACAACAAGGAGGGAGAUAACGCCCAAGAGAGAGGAUACACCAAGGGGAUGCACAUGCCCAAGAGAGGGAGCCUUUCAUGGCUUGAUUGAUUGAUUGCUUACUCUCUUCCUUCUCCACACCUCU
rnacentral:lncRNA from 1 species